rnacentral:rRNA from 1 species
UACGGAGGGUGCAAGCGUUAUCCGGAUUCACUGGGUUUAAAGGGUGCGUAGGCGGGCAGGUAAGUCAGGGGUGAAAUCUCCGAGCUUAACUCGGAAACUGCCAUUGAUACUAUUUGUCUUGAAUAUUGUGGAGGUAAGCGGAAUAUGUCAUGUAGCGGUGAAAUGCUUAGAUAUGACAUAGAACACCAAUUGCGAAGGCAGCUUACUACACAAUGAUUGACGCUGAGGCACGAAAGCGUGGGGAUCAAACAGG